GAUGAACGCUCGCGGCAGGCCUAACACAUGCAAGUCGAGGGGUAGAAGGAGCUUGCUCCUUUGAGACCGGCGCACGGGUGCGUAACGCGUAUGCAAUCUACCUUGUACAGGGGAAUAGCCCAGAGAAAUUUGGAUUAAUGCCCCAUAGUAUAUAACCUUCGCAUGUUGGUUAUAUUAAAGUUCCAACGGUAUAAGAUGAGCAUGCGUCCCAUUAGUUAGUUGGUAAGGUAACGGCUUACCAAGACGAUGAUGGGUAGGGGUCCUGAGAGGGAGAUCCCCCACACUGGUACUGAGACACGGACCAGACUCCUACGGGAGGCAGCAGUGAGGAAUAUUGGUCAAUGGUCGCAAGACUGAACCAGCCAUGCCGCGUGCAGGAAGACGGUCCUAUGGAUUGUAAACUGCUUUUAUACAGGAAGAAACCCUCCCACGUGUGGGAGCUUGACGGUACUGUAGGAAUAAGGAGCGGCUAACUCCGUG
rnacentral:rRNA from 1 species